rnacentral:misc_RNA from 1 species
GAACGCACAUUGCGGCCCCGGCUCACUGCCGGGGCCUCGCCUGUCCGAGGGUUGGCGAACUUGUGAUCGCCCAUCGCUCCCCCGACUCGGGGAACGAGGGCGCGUUGGCGCGUCGCGCUGGCCACCCGUGGCCGGCCCGUCCGUCUCGAGAGUUCAGCCUCCGCGAGUCGCUCGAUAGCCAUCCCGGCGAGUGGCACGCUGACAGGGCUCGAUGGGCCUCUUGUCUCGCGUGCAUGUCCCCUACUAGCUAGGGGACGACCUCCCGGGCGGCCGACGGCUCGUUCAGAGCGGAGUUUGUUACGUACGUGUACACACACGUGCGAACACCUACACACUCCGACCUCGGAUCAAACGAGACUACCCGCUGAACUUAAGCAUAUCAGU